CAAUCUUUGCACCCAGAUGUUGCAGUAAGUCUGGAAGCCACAUCAAACUGUUUGUGGUACUUCUAAACUUCGUGGAAGAACCCUGUUUCAUAAAUCUGAGACAGUCUUCGUCUGAGGGGGCAAAGACAGAGAAUUCAUGUGCUGCCCAGGCAUAGCGACGUAGCAGGUGGACAUCCCUGGACACUUUUCUGACAAAGCAUGCAACGUGGGGAAAAAACGGAAAUCCAAGAAAAGCAAGAGCAAUUUCAAGGCACUAAAUAAGUGGACUGAGAGAAGAAGUACACAGAUACUUCCCCGAACAAAGUAAGUGAUAUACAAGAGUAACCUCUUCCUGGAUGAAUCCUCAUGAGUGUCAUCACUUAGUCUCAAGGGAUGGCCAAAGCCAAUGGGCAGUUGUUGAGCUGAGUGGGAAGAUCUUGAACAAGCAGGCUGAAGUGUCCACACUGCACACAGAAGAUCCUUUCCAAUGUGGGACAAAGCUAGGGGUUUCUACCCCUUUCUAGGGUGGCUGUGAUCUGAGAAAGACCUCCAUUUGUACUCUUGUAAAAAUUUAAUGGUGUUUUAGCUUUAAUUACUGGUGUUUUUAUAUUGGCAAAUUGAGUCUUGACAGAGAAGGAACUGUUUUCUAUUCAUCUCUGAAUCGCCAGUAUUUUAGACAAUAUCUGAAAUGAUCCCAUGUUUGGGUUUUAAUAAAAGUUUAAGAAAUGAA